rnacentral:rRNA from 1 species
UACGUAGGGGGCAAGCGUUGUCCGGAUUUAUUGGGCGUAAAGAGCGUGUAGGCGGCCAGGUAGGUCUGGUGUGAAAACUCGAGGCUUAACCUCGAGAUGCAUCGGUAACGAACUCUGAGCUAGAGUCCGGAAGAGGAGAGUGGAAUUCCCGUGGUGUAGCGGUGAAAUGCGUAGAGAUCGGGGAGGAACACCAGAGGCGAAGGCGGCUUACUGGACAGCUACUGACACUCAACUGCGAAAGCGUGGGGAGCAAACAGG